AAGAACACCAAAGAGAACGGGAAUAACGCCUCUUCUCCCGAUUCGUGCCAUAUAAAAUUCAGAGAAUCGUUAAACCGGGCGAAUCAGUGUGACAUAUUGAGGCAUUACCCGGUCUGCUGGAUUAAACUAUUAUCGAUUUCGGAUUAAUUAACCUACACGGCAUUUCUUCCCCACCGAUCUAUUUCCAACCGUCCAAAAUCCAAAUUAGACCAUCCCCUAUUUGUUAUCUACUCACUUCUUACACUUUAUAUAUAUAUAAAUUUAUAUUUGGUAUACUAUUAUAUAUGUAACAACUAGCGACACCUAUUGAAUAUUUUGAAGUCAUAAGAAGAGUACCGAUCGAUAAAGAAGAGAGCAGUAGAACAAAGUUGUUGUUGUUAAUGAAUGUAGUUAUAAAAGUAAAACAAACGAAAAACAAGUAAUAAAUGGACAAACGAUAAAGCCCCUUUUAUUUACUAUAAAGUAGCGUUGCGAUAAAAACGUGAAUACGACAAAAAUGAGGGAAGAAAACACAGAAAAAUUCUACGCAACGGAUAUGGCGGUAAACUCAACGGCCAUUGAAGAAUUGGAGACGAUCGAUAAAACAGGUGAUGUAACGGAAAACGAAAUAGCAUACAAAAUACAUAGAAACAAAAGAUUUAAUGAGUCUACAUAAAUCGUCGUAUCUACAUUUUUCCUAAUUUUCAACCUAAAUGCAAAUUCUUGAAUAUGGGUGUUAUUUCUACCUAUUUGGCUAAGAACGUCCUAGCUGCUUUUAAAGUUGCUAAAAUAUACCUAAACAUAUCAUCCUAUCUCCAGUAUUAAUACAUUUCCUAAGUGAGAAAAUCCUAUCUGAUAUUUACUAAAGUAAAUAAUCCUAACUAGCUUUGUUCAGUCUUAUGACUAUGUACAUGAGUACUCAAUGUGAGGGCUUUGCUACGUUAAAAUGUCCGAUGUUACCACGUGCUAUGUUAAAUUGGAAAAGAAUGCGAAUCUUAAACUGUCUUACGAGCUAUAUAGAAAAGAAAUAAGAGCAAUGAAUAUUUCAUUUGCGAGACUUGGGAAUGAGGAAUGUUUUGAAUGUGAAAAGUUUAACUUACACUCAACAACUACUCUUCAUCAAAAAAACAAUUUACCCGAAGAUUGCGACUCAUGCAUGUUAUAGAAAAGGCAUAAGGAAAAAUACAAUAUUGCCAGGGUGGAAUACCAAAAGGAUGGGAAACAAUUCAUAACUGAUAAAUUGGUGGUAUCCGGUGAUCAUGCUGCCACUGUCAUUUCAAGACUGAUUGCCUUUAAUGAGUCCUUUGUACCAGUUGGUCAAUAUACAAAGUCCACGAAACCUCUGACGGUGGUGUGGCACGAAGCAAUCCGAGGAAGAAAAAAGAAGAUUUGAUUUCAACAUUUUAUGCGUUUCUAUUGAGAAAUAGAGACGUGUCUAACAUAACAAUUUGGCUGGACAAUUGUGCAGCCCAAAACAAGAAUUGGGCUUUAUUCUGUUUUUAUAUCUACGCUGUCAAUAACUGUUCAGAAUUGGCCUUGAAAACUUUGGAAAUAAAAUACUUUCAGUCAGGACAUACAUUUAUGUCGGCAGACGCGUUCCACCAUCAGGUGGAAAAAUCACUUAAGAGAAUGGGGAAGGAUUACACUUUGAUGAUUUCAAACGUGCAGUUAACGAUGCAAACUCUUCUAAAGUUGACAUUAAAGACAUGACUAUCAAAGACUUUUUUGACUGGAAAGAUUAACCAUAUUUGCAAGAUAUGUCACAUUUGGUAUUUAGGGAAGGAGAAUACGUAAUGUGGUAUAAAAACUUUCUUGACGAUGAUUUUGUCAAACUAAAUUUUCUGACAGCCAAACACUUCAAGGAAGAAAUGCCGAAGCCUACUUCCAAACAUGAAUGCCGAGGAAUAUCCGAGACGAGGAAAAAUGACCUGAUCUCAAAACUACGGCCAAUUAUUCCUGAAAACCGUCUUAAACUUUGGGAGUAUAUAUAUAUACUCCAUAUGUGCUGACGGCAAUAACGAUGACGAAUUUAUGGAUGAGGUGUAAUAAGUUUUUAUUUUAUUAUUAUUAAAUUAUUUUUGAGGAUUUGAACAUUUUAGUUUCCGGCUGAUAGGAUACAAUUGUUUUACCACUCCUAUCAUAUAUUAUUUAGUAGCAUUCCUUUUUCUUUACAGUUUUCUAUAUUUUAGGUGUAAUUUUACUAAGACAUAACAUCUUAUCUGCACAUUUUUCUACAUAAUUCAGUUAUAACUAAACUUACACUUUUUUAAUCGUAAAUAAUGAAAAUAUCCAUACGCUUUGAGAUGGCAUGCAAAGAUUGAAAAAUAAAUGUUGAAAGAUAUGGACAGCGAUUAAUUUUCCCUUUAAACUGAAUUAUCUCAGUUUCAACAUUUUGUUACUUAGGAUGAUUUCAGUAAGGACGGCAGAAAUAUCAAAUAAAGUAUAUCAAAAACGGUAUCAAUGAUAAAGAUUUAGCGAAAACACUUGCUUUGAAUGAUGUUGAUCAAAAAAAUCAAACAAUACGAAAGUGUUAUAAAAAUGACGCCACCCACACAAAAACCAAAUAUUCCUCAAAAAACUAAUGGAAAAGAAAAUGAGAAACCUGUAACGCAAGCAAAAAAAUGCUAUAAUUGUAAUGAAAUGGGACACUUUUCAGAAAAAGGCCCAAAACCGCAAAAAAAAGAAAUGUUUCAAUUGCAAUAAAGUGAGUCACAUCGUCAGAGAUUGCAAAGAUGGUGAACAAAAUUAAAAAGGUUGAUCGCAAAGUAGUGCAAGUUUGUAGAAAACCAUUUGACAGAAGGUCGCAGACAAACUAAAAAUAGUAUAUACGCUAUUCACCAUUCAACUGAAGGGAUUUGGAGGUGAAUUAGGAAGAACAAUCGGAAGAUGCCAAAGUUAAUCUAUGAUAAUUUUCAAGAAGACGCCAUAAUUGUAGGAAAUAGUGCUUUUUACGACCUCAAUAUUAAAAUAAUUAAACAUGGAAACUCUUUGUCAGUACAACGAUGCAUCACUCUUAAAGCCGAGGAUGAACUCAUUUUAGAAAAGCCAGAACAAAAGAAAGGUAUAAACGAAGAAACAAUGAUGAUUGACGAAGAUACAGAAAACUCAGAAAACAGAAGAAGACAACGACGGAAAGAAAGAUGAAAAUAUAGAAAAUAAAUGCUCGAUCCCAUGGCGUAGUAGAUAAGUCCUUAAUAAACAAGACAAGCAAUGAUUAAAAGAAGUAACCAAAAGACCAAUUUUAACGAUAUACUAUCCAGAAACAGAUUUUGAAAUGCAUACCGAUGCCUGCAAGAUGAGAAUAGCUGGAAUAUUAUUAACGGAAUUGGAGAGUCGUUAUCACAGCUACGAACUGGAAAUUCUAACCGUUACAGAGACCUUAGAAAGAUUUCGAACGUACGUGGUAGGUCGAGAAUUUAAAGUGGUAAGCGAUUGUAUUUUUUUAAAAACCAUCAUGAAAAAGAAAGACUUGAUGCAGCAGAGAAUAGCACGAUGGGUGUUGAAACUCCAAGAAUACGACUUUAAUAUUAAAUAUCGCCCAGGAACUCAGAUGGCUCAUGUAGAUGCAUUGAGUAGGAGUUCAAAUGAACGUAUUAUUGGACGUAUUAACAGUACAAAUUGAUGACCAAUUAACGAUGCAACUCCAAGA